rnacentral:rRNA from 1 species
GUGGGGAAUAUUGGACAAUGGGCGAAAGCCUGAUCCAGCCAUGCCGCGUGUGUGAAGAAGGUCUUCGGAUUGUAAAGCACUUUAAGUUGGGAGGAAGGGUAGUAACCUAAUACGUUGCUACUUUGACGUUACCGACAGAAUAAGCACCGGCUAACUUCGUGCCAGCAGCCGCGGUAAUACGAAGGGUGCAAGCGUUAAUCGGAAUUACUGGGCGUAAAGCGCGCGUAGGUGGUUCAGUAAGUUGGAAGUGAAAUCCCCGGGCUCAACCUGGGAACUGCUUUUAAAACUGCUGAGCUAGAGUACGGUAGAGGGUGGUGGAAUUUCCUGUGUAGCGGUGAAAUGCGUAGAUAUAGGAAGGAACACCAGUGGCGAAGGCGACUACCUGGACUGAUACUGACACUGAGGUGCGAAAGCGUGGGGAGCAAACAGGAUUAGAUACCCGAGUAGUCC